UUUGGAUUGCAUUCCUGCGUUUGACAUUGAAUAUUACUAAUGCGACAAACUUUCAGUGGGGAAUUUUUAUGCUUGAAUAUAUAGAUCUAUGUUCCGAUAAUAAGUGUGGAGAAAGAGAUCAUACAAUGUGUUUGAAGAGCAGCUCUGUUGCAAAUUGUCGUCGCUUUGAAUCGAUCAAGAUGAGUGAAAGGAAUAUUAGAAGCAUUUUGAUGGGACAUAAUGGCAUAAGGAAUAAGAUAGCAACUCAUUCGAAACUUCCAGGAGCUAACAUGCAAUAUUUGUAUUGGGAUAAAGAUCUUCAGAAAAUGUCCGAAAAGUGGCUUCAACAGUGUAUCAUUGCGUUCGAUGAAUGUGACUACAUUUGUAAAUC